CCUACGGGCGGCAGCAGUAGGGAAUCUUCGGCAAUGGACGGAAGUCUGACCGAGCAACGCCGCGUGAGUGAAGAAGGGUUUCGGAUCGUAAAGCUCUGUUGUAAGAGAAGAACGAGUGUGAGAGUGGAAAGUUCACACUGUGACGGUAUCUUACCAGAAAGGGACGGCUAACUACGUGCCAGCAGCCGCGGUAAUACGUAGGUCCCGAGCGUUGUCCGGAUUUAUUGGGCGUAAGGCGAGCGCAGGCGGUUAGAUAAGUCUGAAGUUAAAGGCUGUGUCUUAACCAUAGUACGCGUUGGAAACUGUUUAACUUGGGUGCAAGAGGGGAGAGUGGAAUUCCAUGUGUAGCGGUGAAAUGCGUAGAUAUAUGGAGGAACACCGGUGGCGAAAGCGGCUCUCUGGCUUGUAACUGACGCUGAGGCUCGAAAGCGUGGGAGCAAACAGGAUUAGAUACCCUGGUAGUC
rnacentral:rRNA from 1 species